GACGAACGCUGGCGGCGUGCUUAACACAUGCAAGUCGUACGGUAAGGCCCUUUCGGGGGUACACGAGUGGCGAACGGGUGAGUAACACGUGCGUAACCUGCCCACAACUUUGGGAUAACGCUAGGAAACUGGUGCUAAUACUGGAUAUGUGCUCCUGCUGCAUGGUGGGGGUUGGAAAGUUCCGGCGGUUGUGGGUGGACCCGCUGCGUAUCGGCUUGCUGGUGGGGUAGUGGGCUACCAAGGCGGCGACGGGUAGCCGGCCUGCGAGGGUGACCGGCCACAUUGGGACUGAGAGACGGCCCAGACUCCGACGGGAGGGAGCAGGGGGGAAUAUUGCACAAUGGGCGCAAGCCGGAUGCAGCAACGCCGCGUGCGGGAUGACGGCCUUCGGGUUGUAAACCGCUUUCAGCAGGGACGAAGCUUUUUGUGACGGUACCUGCAGAAGAAGCACCGGCUAACUACGUG
rnacentral:rRNA from 1 species